rnacentral:lncRNA from 1 species
UAAAUAUUAAAAAAAAAGAACAUUUUUUUAAAAAAAGGGCUGUCUGGGGCUGGUGAAGCCAGAUUUAAAGUUAGGUAGUCAGUGUAGUUAGGUAAAUCGGGUCUAAUAUCAAGUCAGAUCCAAAAUGGAGGCCAUGUUUAGAAUGAAUUCCAGGAAAAGUUGAACAACUCUUGGAAUGUUAAUGAAGUCUGGGAAAAGCCCAAGUCCAAAGCCCAUCCCAAAGAAGUGUUAAAGAACAGCCCCCAGCAAACUUGAAGGUGCUGACUCAGAAGUCCUUCCUGACCAGAUUACCUCUUUGGCCCACCUGUGUCCCACCCCUCGGGCCUUCCCACCUACAUUCCAUCACUGAAAGAACUAUAAAAAGGGGAAACAACCGCACUUCCACGGAUUCCAUCUCUGGGCCUUCUUCCUCCAGGAGAAGUCUUUUCUGCUGUCCUUUAAUAAACUUCUAUUUUCCACUCUGACCUUGCCUCGGCGUGCUUCGGGGAAGCAAGGACUCAACACUGGGGUUGUGGCUCAGUGGUAGAGCGCUCACCUCACACAUGAGAGACCCUGGGUUCGAUCCUCA